GAUGAACGCUGGCGGCGUGCUUAACACAUGCAAGUCGAACGAAGCACUUUAUUUGAUUUCCUUUGGGACUGAUUAUUUUGUGACUGAGUGGCGGACGGGUGAGUAACGCGUGGGUAACCUGCCUUGUACAGGGGGAUAACAGUUGGAAACGGCUGCUAAUACCGCAUAAGCGCACGGCAUCGCAUGAUGCAGUGUGAAAAACUCCGGUGGUAUAAGAUGGACCCGCGUUGGAUUAGCUAGUUGGUGAGGUAACGGCCCACCAAGGCGACGAUCCAUAGCCGACCUGAGAGGGUGACCGGCCACAUUGGGACUGAGACACGGCCCAAACUCCUACGGGAGGCAGCAGUGGGGAAUAUUGCACAAUGGGCGAAAGCCUGAUGCAGCGACGCCGCGUGAGCGAAGAAGUAUUUCGGUAUGUAAAGCUCUAUCAGCAGGGAAGAUAAUGACGGUACCUGACUAAGAAGCACCGGCUAAAUACGUG
rnacentral:rRNA from 1 species